rnacentral:rRNA from 1 species
UACAGAGGUCCCCAAGCGUUGUUCGGAUUCACUGGGCGUAAAGGGUGCGUAGGUGGUCAGGCAAGUCUAACGUGAAAUCCCAGGGCUUAACCUUGGAACUGCGUCGGAUACUGCCUGGCUUGAGGGUUGGAGGGGGGACUGGAAUUCUUGGUGUAGCAGUGAAAUGCGUAGAUAUCAAGAGGAACACCAGUGGCGAAGGCGAGUCCCUGGACAACUCCUGACACUGAGGCACGAAAGCUAGGGGAGCAAACAGGAUUAGAUACCCU